rnacentral:lncRNA from 1 species
CUUACAACAUGGCAGCCCGUCUUCUCCAAUGUGAGUGUCCAGGAGAGAGCAAGAAGCUGCCUGGGCCUUAUGACCUGCCUCUGAAGGUGUGUGCAGCUGCCGGAAGGGGAGGCUCCCCAGUGCCCUCUAUGCCCUGGCUGCCUAGAGAUCCUCACUCCUGGACACUAGGAACCAAGACCCUAGGACUGAGCACAUGCUCUGUGCUGGCCUCUGAGGCUGCACCUCCUUAGUGCUGAUGCACUGAAGGGAAGGACAGGGGGAAGGGAAGGGGUAGGCAGGGGUGGCCAU